GACGUAGGAGGCGAGCGUUAUCCGGAUUCACUGGGCGUAAAGCGCAUGUAGGCGGUUGCACAAGUCCGUUGUUAAAGCCCCUGGCUCAACUGGGGGAGGUCAAUGGAGACUGUGCGACUUGAGGGCAAUAGAGGCACGUGGAACUCCCGGUGUAGCGGUGGAAUGCGUAGAGAUCGGGAAGAACACCAGUGGCGAAGGCGACGUGCUGGGUUGCACCUGACGCUGAGAUGCGAAAGUGUGGGGAGCAAACGGG
rnacentral:rRNA from 1 species